UGUGGCCAGUCCAGUAGGAGUUAGAAACAGGGAGGGCCGGCUCCUGGGCUUAGUGGUGGGGAGGAAGUGGCCAGUUUAGGGACUCAGGGGAGAGAUGCCGGAGGAGACGUUGUCAGAUAGGGCCAGUGGGGUGGGUUUGCCAGGAGGAGGGAGGCUACGAGGGGAGCUAGAAAUUGGGAGGCCUCGCUGGCAAGGCUGCGCUGAAAGUUCCACAACAACCCAUGGGGAGGGCAGCAUUACUCCAGUCCAGGCUGUCUGCUGCCUGUUGGACAGGAGGACUUGAACUCCAGGAGGAGGCUCUUAUAUGAGCUGAGCUGACCCUAGGGCCAUGAUUUAUGUGCAGAAAGGAAGUCAGGCUGAGGUGGGCAGCUGGAGAGGAGAGGAGGUAGAGACUGGUGGAAUCGGUUGAUACCAUUGUAAUGAAAGUGAAAAGCAGGCAGUGAGUUCAGGGAGGACCAACUUUGAACUUGUCAACACUAGCAGCACCCCCUUUUUUGCAGACAAAGGGGUGUGAACCCACCUGGGGAUGAGGCCUGGUCUUGUGGAAACUGGACUUAGCUUCGCGGGGCAGACAGCUGUGGCCCAGGGUGGUAGGUAAUGUGGACUCAGCCUGGUGGACCCCAGGUCUGGGUGUGAGGCAAGGCCUCAGUCGGAGGUGAGGGGUGGCCUGAGGAGCGACUGCAGAGGCAUGGAGUCAUCCUCACCCGUGGCUGGUGUGGCAUCUUGUUUGCCAGGAGGGGGCUGCUGAGGCAGGAUGCUUGUGUCUGAAGGCAACACUGACGGACCUUUAUUUUCCAGGUGAUAGUGGCCCCCACUGGACUUUACCUAGGUUCCAUGCUAAUCUCUUCUGUGAGCUCACUCUACCCCUCCUCCUCCCUCUAACUCUCUGAGGUUGUCCCUCCACUUAAACCUGUCAUCUGGUGGUAAGCCUGGGGAACUCGCUGGAGCUGCUGUUGGAUUCGGUACCUUUGGUAAUGGUGGAGGAGGAAAGGCCCACGCCCGCUGUGACUCCCGUGUUCAUCAUGGCGAGCAGAUGGCACCAGGAGAAAUGGAGCCCCUGCCAGUAUGAGUCGUAGCAGUACAGGAGGGGAGACCCCUGAAGGAGACAGCCCGAUUAAAUUGAAGUCUGCAGAUUGAAUUCCAGAGGCUUGGGAGUUCUCCAGUGCCAUGUGUCCAGGCCUCGUUCGUGAAGCUCUUUGUUCAGGAGGCCGCCAUUAAAGUUUUAAGAUGAGCUUAUGGGGGGCAGUCCAGAAAUCCAAAGCAGAUGCAUCCGGCUUGAGGGGCCAUCAGCUUUGAAUGAAUUUUCCAGGAGCACCAUCCUCAGGGAACGUGAAUGCCCUCAGGCACCCCCUCGUUUCCUGGGGAUAGAGGUUUUCAGAUGCUGCAACUUCUAAAUUGAGCCUCGAGUCAUUGUAGUUCUGUGCUACGAACCUUGCUUCAAGAAGAUUAAGCUGUAGAACAUUUUAAUGAUGCCACAACGCAGAGAGAUGCCUUGUAGAUGGCGCUUGCAGAUGGAGCCCAGUGACCUCUCACCUACCCUCCUCUGCCUCCCUGCCUGUGCACUGCCUAGAGGAAUUGUUAGUGUAAUGAUAAAACUCUUGGGUGUUGGGGGAAGCUGUUCGAUUGUAAGUGUCUUAGGGGAUAUGUGGGUAUUUACGGUGAGGCAAAUUGGUGUGGGGGUGGUGGGUUAAGUAUUGUGUUGAAUUGAAGCCUGGUUGGAUACAAGUUGAUUGUGCCCAAGCUCUGGGUAUUGGAAGUGGUGUAUCUAGUUUGGACGUUCUGAUGACAUCAGUCACUGAAAAGGGAAUGGGUGGUGGGUGUACCAACAAUAUAUGUGUGCUGGCGAUGAAAUUUAACUGAUGCCUACGAAGCAAGUUCUGCCACCGAGCUAUGCCCCCGGUCCAGAUCUUUGAUUCUUACUCCAUUUAUUUAAACUUGGUUUUUACUUGGCCUUCCAAUGGGGGGGGGUAGUUCCUGAGGUGGGAUGGGGUGGGAGAAAAGGUGGGGGGAUACAGCACGGACGGUGGGAGGUUGGGAAUGUGGCUUGCAAGAGUUGGGGGUGUGGGUGGUAGAGAAUUUAACAGAACUCAGGGGUGAAGAGAAUAAGGGUAAUUGUUAAUGCUGGCUAAAUUGCUUAAAAGCAAUAAAAAUUGCUUAGAACUUGAUCAAUGAAAAAAGCAAAAUUGUUUUGCUUUGUUGAAAAGUGGAGAAAAUUGAAAAGGUUACUAAAACUGAAUAUUUAAUCAUUUGAAAAAUGGUGUCAAACACAUCCAGGUUUUGGUAUGGGGAACAAACUCGGUCCUUGCGCUUGUGAGGUAGGCAGUGGAACCACUGAGCUAAAUCCCCAGCCCCACAUCCAGGUGUUUUAUAUGAAGCUGUAAGGGUGUGUGAUUUCUUUUUUUUCAGGGGUAAUAAAUCUUAGGAAAGACUUAAGUGUCUAAAUUGCAAGCUUUAACGCUUACGUGUGCCCUUGAGAAUAAAUGGGUUAUUCUGGGCUUGUAAUUCAUAUUAGUCACUGAGAUAAUUUGUAAUGGAUAAUUCUGAGCAUAGUGCAAAUGUGAUGCCUUCUAAAAGGGUUUCAUGUUUAAGUUGUGUGUUGUAAGACAUUUUCUGUGAUAGGUCAGUAAUUAUAAAAACUUUGCUCGCUUAGUAUUAUCUUUUCCAGUUUCAGGAAACAAGCUUUAUGGUCACUGAAAUUACUAUGAUAUUUUGUAGCAAACAAUCCAUAUAUCUUGGCCACGGUUACACUGAAUAAUAUAUUGCAUAUUUAGUUUGAAUUUGCUAUUUAAAUGAUCCGGGCUAGAGGGAAAACUCACUCAUUUGGGGACACAGCAAAACUGAGAAGGGGAUACCUUACUAGAUAUGGUCUGUAAAAAUUUAGAGACUGAAAAUCAUUUGCUUUUGACCUGUUUAGUUGGUAAAGUAGUAUCAGUGGCUUUUAAAUGUUUUUCCUUUAAUUUCACCUUUAAAAAGUUUAAACCUCAAUAUUUUUAUGCUUGAGAUAUUUUUGUUUUGGGGUUCCUUUUUAAAAACUCAGAGUAUGUUGCUGUGGUAGUUUAGUUCCUCACCAGUGACUGAGUCACUGUCAGUAGAACUUAAAGUGUAUUAGUCACGCUUGUGUGGGAAAGUACUUCUGGGUAGGAACUUAGUGUAUUCAUCAUGCGUGUGUGGAGAAAUCCUCACUAGUCAUGCUUGUAUGGGGAAAUAUUUUCGGGUAUACUGUUGUGAAAUGAGAGCUGUAAAAGUAGGUGGUUAAAAGUACUUGUUUAUUGCUCUGUAAGGUAAGAAGUCUGCUGUUGCAUCAUGUAUGUAAUUAAUCAUUUUUCCUCCCGUUUACAGCAUAAAUAAAGGUUUGAGUUCUAAGCUGCUUAGAA